rnacentral:rRNA from 1 species
UACGUAGGGUGCGAGCGUUGCCCGGAUUUAUUGGGCGUAAAGGGCGCGUAGGCGGCCACGCACGUCCGUUGUGAAAUCGCCCCGGCUCAACUGGGCGGGGGUCAGCGGAUACGGUGUGGCUCGAGCAAGCUAGGGGGCAAUGGAAUUCCCGGUGUAGUGGUGGGAAUGCGUAGAUAUCGGGAGGAACACCAGUGGCGAAGGCGGUUGCCUGGAGCUUUGCUGACGCUGAGGCGCGAAAAGCGUGGGGAGCGAGUCCGG